CAGCCUUUAAAAUACUAUUGCUAAGCAAUAAAAAUGAAUAAAUAAAACCAUCUUUGAGCAAGCCUCUGACUCUACCUACCAUGUUAUAGGGAAGUGAUACCACAGGUAUGGCAGCAAAAUGCAGAAUCUAUAUAACAAAUGGCAUGAUUUACAGGGAGUGGAGGGUGGGAUGAGAGGGAGAGAAAUAGAGAAAGGGAGCAUUUAGACUUAAGCUGGUUUAAGAGUCAUGACUUUGAUAUAUGGAACUCAUUUUGGUUGUGACUUGAAUCCACACAAUUAAAAAAAAUGCAAGAUGCCUGGGAAUAUGUUAGCACUGUAUCUAAUAACAUUACAAAAAUUCAUGUUAACAUUCUAAGGAAGUUAAUACUCAGAGAUGAUAUUGUAGAACAGUGGUCCUCAACCUUCCUAAUGCUAUGACCCUUUAAUACAGUUCCUCAUGUUGUGGUGUCCCCAGGCAUAAAAUUAUUUUGUUGCUACUUCAUAACUGUAAUUUUGCUACUGUUAUGCAUCAUAUUGUAAAUAUUUAAUAUGCAGGAUGUUUGCACAUUAGGGGUUGUGACCCAUAGUUGAGAACUGCUAUUGUAGAGAUACGCGCAGACAAUGACAACAUUCACGGAUAAGAUGGUUUGAUGUCUGGGAUUUGCUCUAAAGAAUAUGGAUAUUGAGGAUAAAGACAGAGGCACAAGAAGAUUGACCAUGUGUUGACACUGGAAACCAAGGGAGAAGUAGCUGGACUUAAGCAUUUAUUGCUCUACUUGAGAAGCUGGUUUUCCUCAGGUAGAGAACACAUCUAAGUAGCUAUCUGCAUUGCUUUUAGGGAGUUAUUACUUCAUAGAUUUACAGAUGUUGGAACCCUAUCCCCCUUUGUUCCCACAAAGCACGUCACAGCAGAAAAUGCCAUGUCUGUGUGAAAUGGAGUGUCAGCAACAGCAGGGAAACCCCAUUCUUGUCGGAGCUGUUCAAGCAUCCCUUGCCUGCAAACUUGUGCAGCUUGUUGAUAGAAGGGGAACUUGUGCUGAGAACUUGUUCGGGUUGACCUGA
rnacentral:lncRNA from 1 species